rnacentral:rRNA from 1 species
UUUGACAUCUGGGGAAUCCUCCCGAAAAGGAGGAGAGCCCUUCGGGGAGCCCCAAGACAGGUGCUGCAUGGCUGUCGUCAGCUCGUAUCGUGAGAUGUUGGGUUAAGUCCCGCAACGAGCGCAACCCCUAUGUAUAGUUGCCAGCGAGUGAAGUCGGGCACUCUAUGCAGACUGCCCGGGUUAACCGGGAGGAAGGUGGGGACGACGUCAAGUCAUCAUGGCCCUUACACCCAGGGCUACACACGUACUACAAUGGCGCGCACAAAGGGGAGCGAGACCGCGAGGUGGAGCCAAUCCCAAAAAACGCGUCCCAGUCCGGAUUGCAGUCUGCAACUCGACUGCAUGAAGUCGGAAUCGCUAGUAAUUCGAGAUCAGCAUGCUCGGGUGAAUGCGUUCCCGGGUCUUGUACACACCGA